GAUGAACGCUGGCGGCGUGCCUAAUACAUGCAAGUCGAGCGAACGGACGAGAAGCUUGCUUCUCUGAUGUUAGCGGCGGACGGGUGAGUAACACGUGGAUAACCUACCUAUAAGACUGGGAUAACUUCGGGAAACCGGAGCUAAUACCGGAUAAUAUUUUGAACCGCAUGGUUCAAAAGUGAAAGACGGUCUUGCUGUCACUUAUAGAUGGAUCCGCGCUGCAUUAGCUAGUUGGUAAGGUAACGGCUUACCAAGGCAACGAUGCAUAGCCGACCUGAGAGGGUGAUCGGCCACACUGGAACUGAGACACGGUCCAGACUCCUACGGGAGGCAGCAGUAGGGAAUCUUCCGCAAUGGGCGAAAGCCUGACGGAGCAACGCCGCGUGAGUGAUGAAGGUCUUCGGAUCGUAAAACUCUGUUAUUAGGGAAGAACAUAUGUGUAAGUAACUGUGCACAUCUUGACGGUACCUAAUCAGAAAGCCACGGCUAACUACGUGCCAGCAGCCGCGGUAAUACGUAGGUGGCAAGCGUUAUCCGGAAUUAUUGGGCGUAAAGCGCGCGUAGGCGGUUUUUUAAGUCUGAUGUGAAAGCCCACGGCUCAACCGUGGAGGGUCAUUGGAAACUGGAAAACUUGAGUGCAGAAGAGGAAAGUGGAAUUCCAUGUGUAGCGGUGAAAUGCGCAGAGAUAUGGAGGAACACCAGUGGCGAAGGCGACUUUCUGGUCUGUAACUGACGCUGAUGUGCGAAAGCGUGGGGAUCAAACAGGAUUAGAUACCCUGGUAGUCCACGCCGUAAACGAUGAGUGCUAAGUGUUAGGGGGUUUCCGCCCCUUAGUGCUGCAGCUAACGCAUUAAGCACUCCGCCUGGGGAGUACGACCGCAAGGUUGAAACUCAAAGGAAUUGACGGGGACCCGCACAAGCGGUGGAGCAUGUGGUUUAAUUCGAAGCAAUGCGAAGAACCUUACCAAAUCUUGACAUCCUUUGACAACUCUAGAGAUAGAGCUUUCCCCUUCGGGGGACAAAGUGACAGGUGGUGCAUGGUUGUCGUCAGCUCGUGUCGUGAGAUGUUGGGUUAAGUCCCGCAACGAGCGCAACCCUUAAGCUUAGUUGCCAUCAUUAAGUUGGGCACUCUAAGUUGACUGCCGGUGACAAACCGGAGGAAGGUGGGGAUGACGUCAAAUCAUCAUGCCCCUUAUGAUUUGGGCUACACACGUGCUACAAUGGACAAUACAAAGGGCAGCGAAACCGCGAGGUCAAGCAAAUCCCAUAAAGUUGUCCUCAGUUCGGAUUGUAGUCUGCAACUCGACUACAUGAAGCUGGAAUCGCUAGUAAUCGUAGAUCAGCAUGCUACGGUGAAUACGUUCCCGGGUCU
rnacentral:rRNA from 1 species